rnacentral:misc_RNA from 1 species
AGUCGUAACAAGGUUUCCGUAGGUGAACCUUCGGAAGGAUCAUUACCAUAACGCGGUCGCCCCGUGAUCCCCCCUUCUCCAAUUGCUGGGGGGUUAGGGCGGCCACACGCGUUCUUACCACCCUUGAUUUUGAGCACCUUCAUGUUUCCUCGGCAGGGACGCCUGCCAGCGAGGACCCCCAAAAAACCUUUUGCAGUUUGCAGUAUUUGUCUGAAAACAAACAUAAUAAUCAAAACUUUCAACAAUGGAUCUCUUGGUUCUGGCAUCGAUGAAGAACGCAGCGAAAUGCGAUAAGUAGUGUGAAUUGCAGAAUUCAGUGAAUCAUCGAAUCUUUGAACGCACAUUGCGCCCUAUAGUAUUCUGUAGGGCAUGCCUGUUCGAGCGUCAUUUAACCCCUCAAGCCCAGCUUGGUAUUGGGUGCUUGUCCCGCCUCUCGCGCGGCGACUCACCUCAAAGUCAUUGGCAGCCCGCAAUCGCCGGCCGUGAGCGCAGCACAAACGCGCUUGUGGACCCCGGCGGCUCGGCUCUCCAAAAGCUUAUUUCAACCACAAUUGACCUCGGAUCAGGUAGGGAUACCCGCUGAACUUAAGCAUAUCAAUAAGCGGAGGAA